rnacentral:rRNA from 1 species
AUGUGCGUCGACUACAGACAUUUAAAUGCAAUCACAACAAUGGCUAAGUUUCCGGUGCCCAUAAUUGAAGAAUUGUUAGAUGAGUUACAUGGGGCAGUAUGGUUCUCAAAACUGGAUUUGCGGUCAGGAUACCAUCAAAUCUGGCUGGCGCCAGGCGAAGAGUACAAGACGGCUUUCCAAACCCAUUCAUGUCACUAUGAAUUUAAGGUGGUCUCCUUUGGGUUGGCUGGGGGCCCGGCCACUUUCAACGGAGGCUCCAUACCACACUCCGGCCCCUGCUCCGCGACUGUGUGUUGCUCUUCUUCGACGACAUCCUAG